CCUACGGGUGGCAGCAGUGAGGAAUAUUGCACAAUGGACGCGAGCCUGAAGCAGCCAAGCCGCGUGAAGGAUGACUGCCUUAUGGGUUGUAAAUUUUUUUGAUAAAGGAGUAAAACUAUGUACGUGUGCCUUUUUGCAUGUACUUUAUGAACAAGGAUCGGCCAACCCCGUGCCAGCAGCCGCGGUAAUACGGAGGAUCCGAUCGUUAUCCGGAUUGAUUGGGUUUAAGGGGAGCGUAGCUGGGUUGUUAAGUCAGUUGUGAAAGUUUGGGGGUCAACCGUGAAAUUGCAAUUGAUACUGGCAGGCUUGAGUACAGUAGGGGUAGGCGGAAUUCGUGGUGUAGCGGUGAAAUGCUUAGAGAUCACGAAGAACACCGAGUGCGAAGGCAGCUUACUAAACUGUUACUGACAUUGAUGCGCGAAAGUGUGGGUAGCAAACAGGAUUAGAUACCCUUGUAGUC
rnacentral:rRNA from 1 species